UGGGGAAUUUUGGACAAUGGGCGCAAGCCUGAUCCAGCAAUGCCGCGUGCAGGAUGAAGGCCUUCGGGUUGUAAACUGCUUUUGUACGGAGCGAAAAGGUCUGCCCUAAUACGGUGGGCUCAUGACGGUACCGUAAGAAUAAGCACCGGCUAACUUCGUGCCAGCAGCCGCGGUAAUACGAAGGGUGCAAGCGUUACUCGGAAUUACUGGGCGUAAAGCGUGCGUAGGUGGUCGUUUAAGUCUGUUGUGAAAGCCCUGGGCUCAACCUGGGAACUGCAGUGGAAACUGGACGACUAGAGUGUGGUAGAGGGUAGCGGAAUUCCUGGUGUAGCAGUGAAAUGCGUAGAUAUGCGGAGGAACACCGAUGGCGAAGGCAAUCCCCUGGACCUGUACUGACGCUCAUGCACGAAAGCGUGGGGAGCAAACA
rnacentral:rRNA from 1 species